rnacentral:rRNA from 1 species
AGAUUGAACGCUGGCGGCAGGCCUAACACAUGCAAGUCGAGCGGCAGCACGGGUACUUGUACUUGGUGGCGAGCGGCGGACGGGUGAGUAAUGCCUAGGAAUCUGCCUGGUAGUGGGGGAUAACGCUCGGAAACGGACGCUAAUACCGCAUACGUCCUACGGGAGAAAGCAGGGGACCUUCGGGCCUUGCGCUAUCAGAUGAGCCUAGGUCGGAUUAGCUAGUUGGUGAGGUAAUGGCUCACCAAGGCGACGAUCCGUAACUGGUCUGAGAGGAUGAUCAGUCACACUGGAACUGAAGACACGGUCCAGACUCCGUACGGGAGGCAAGCAGGUGGGGGAAAUUAGUUGGAAC